UCAGCUCAGGUGAGACCAGGCAGAGCUGGCUGUCCCAGGUGAAGACAACCCCUGCCUCCCCUUUAUGUAUUUGCCUGCUUGCCUCAACACCUGGGGCUCUGCCUGAGGGAUAAAGCUGCAGGAACCCGAGUCCUUGGGGAAGAAAGUUGCUGUUCAGGAGAACCCAUCGCCUGCACCCCCAGCCUGAGAAAAAGGCGUCAUCUCCUUAAAAUUUAACCAAAUCCGCUGUUAUCCAUCCCCAUUCCUAUCCCACCCCUUUUUAUGCAGCUUUCCAAUGGGUAAAGAACUUUCCAGAAGAAUUUUCUUCUCUGCCUUGCAGCUGCAGGAGACAGGCGGCCCAAUGCAAGUGAGCUGCCUUAGCAACCUUUGCUGGGUUGUGAUACCACCAAGUUAAAAUAACUUGGAUUAAAAAAAAUACUGAUCAACAUCAGAAGCGAGCUGACAGGCUGCUGGGAUCCACAAAGGAGGCUAAUAAUUAACGAGAGAUGGUCUCCGAGGAUUGUAGGUGGACAGCAUCAGCGAGCGUACUGGUAAAUUCCUAUGAUCUUCUCUUCAGAAACGAGUGCAUGAAGACAGGAAAGAGAUGAAAAGGAGACCUUGAGUUGAGAAAGGCCAAAGUGGUCAAAGAUUUCAUUGGAUUGAGAGAAAUAUUCCAAAACCAAAGGCGUUCCUGUGUUGUCUGUGUCACUGUUGCCGUGGGCUGGAUCUCAAAAACUUCUUUAAGUACCCUGCUGGGACACACAGAGAUGUAUCAGGAAGCACAAAGAAACUUUCAGGCUUUGGGAAAGGCUGAAAUGCGGAACGAUUCUGGCUGUUUCUGGAUGGGCUCGCUGUUUGCACCAGGGUGGUGUGGGGCUGGCUGUGCUGGAGGAACAGACCCACGCUGGGUUUGUCUGUUAGAGGGGCCCCUUCCCACUUUGCCCAGGCUCCUUGCACAGCUCUGCCUUGGCCUGCAGCCUCAGACCUUCAAUAUAACUUCCCGAUACACUUUGGGUUCUGCCCCUAGUGCCCUUCCAUGCACGUGGAGCAGACAGAGCAAAGCUUCAGCCCUGCAUUAGGCUGGGCGAGGAGAAGUGGGUCAGGCACUUUGCCAACAUCUGGCACGUCCAGCCAGGCGCCGAUGUGCCGAAUGCCACCCUUGAGGAGAUGGGUGAGACAUGUCUGAAUGUGGGACAAACUGGGGGAAGUGAGGUGAAGCACUUAGGGGAGAUCAGUCCCCUGAAAUGAGACUGGAACAAAUAACUGCGAGGGAAAGGGGAAAUGGGGCUGCUUGGCAUCACGAUCUGAAUGCAAAAUCUGCCUGAAGGGGAUAGAAUGAGUGAAGAGGGACAAACAGAGAAGUUGUCCCCUGUUCGUGCAGAUUACAGGACAGAAACAAGCCACCCACAGCAGGUUCCAGGCACCUUCCCUGGGACCAAGAAGACAGCACAGUGACGUGGCAGCAGCUCCUGAAGGAGAUCCCAGAGAAUAAGGGGUGGCCUCCAUCUCCUUGAUGAAAAGAAAGUAAGAACACAAGAGGAUCUUCAGGUGGUGAUGGCAGUUGACUUGAUCAGAACAGCAACCUGCACAUCUCUGGGCAGAUGUUUCUACUGUCUUGAAAGCACAAUAGUUUGUCCUUUUGAACACUAGAAAAUAUGAAGCCUGGCUUCUCAUGAGCUUUUCCCCUGUGUUUGGAUACCCUAACACUAGUUUUAGCGUUCCCCUCUAGCAUGCCUUGCCCUGUAAUAUUGUCCUUAUCCAGCUAUGUCACCAACUCGUCCCUUUCCUCCCAUGGACUGGUGAGGAUGAUCUAUUGUAGCCUGGAAUAUGGAUGUAGAGUGACUGGCCAACAGACAAAAGAAAAAUACAAACCACAAAAUACUCAAGAACUUUGCUUUAGGCAGAACUAAAUUGUAUUUCCCUCCCUUGUAUUUGUAUUCAGCAGCCAACUUUCUUAUAAAACAUAUGUACCUUUGAGAAUUUUGUCUCCUGAAUGCAGAUGAAAUGUACCCAGGUUAAAAAAAGAUAUGGGGGAAAAA